AGUGAACGCUGGCGGCGUGCCUAAUACAUGCAAGUCGAACGAACUGGCGCACGGGUGAGUAAUAUAUAUUUAAUCUUCCCUCCACAGAGGAACACCAGUUGGAAACGGCUGCUAAUACCUCAUAGUGUAGGAUGAGACUAUAUCGUAUCAGCUAGUGUGUAAGGUAAUGGCUUACCAAGGCUAUGACGCGGAACUGGUCUGAGAGGAUGAGCAGUCACAUUGGAACUGAGACACGGUCCAAACUCCUACGGGAGGCAGCAGUAAGAAAUAUUGCGAACUGGGGGAAACCCUGACGCAGCAACGCCGCGUGGAGGAUGACACUUUUCGGAGUGUAAACUCCUUGUAUCAGGAAAGCGGUACCUGAUGAAUAAGCACCGGCUAACUCCGUGCCAGCAGCCGCGGUAAUUC
rnacentral:rRNA from 1 species